rnacentral:rRNA from 1 species
AAUUGACCUGGCGGCCUGCUUACACACUGCAGUCUAACGGCAGCACGGGAGCAUCCUGGUGGCGAGUGGCGAACGGGUGAGUAAUGUAUCGGAACGUGCCCAGUCGUGGGGGAUAACGCAGCGAAAGCUGUGCUAAUACCGCAUACGAUCUAUGGAUGAAAGCGGGGGACCGUAAGGCCUCGCGCGAUUGGAGCGGCCGAUAUCAGAUUAGGUAGUUGGUGGGGUAAAGGCCCACCAAGCCGACGAUCUGUAGCUGGUCUGAGAGGACGACCAGCCACACUGGGACUGAGACACGGCCCAGACUCCUACGGGAGGCAGCAGUGGGGAAUUUUGGACAAUGGGCGCAAGCCUGAUCCAGCAAUGCCGCGUGCAGGAUGAAGGCCUUCGGGUUGUAAACUGCUUUUGUACGGAGCGAAACGGCUUCCACUAAUACUGGGGGCUAAUGACGGUACCGUAAGAAUAAGCACCGGCUAACUACGUGCCAGCAGCCGCGGUAAUACGUAGGGUGCAAGCGUUAAUCGGAAUUACUGGGCGUAAAGCGUGCGCAGGCGGUUAUGUAAGACAGAGGU